rnacentral:rRNA from 1 species
GAUGAACGCUAGCUACAGGCUUAACACAUGCAAGUCGAGGGGCAGCAUGACCUAGCAAUAGGUUGAUGGCGACCGGCGCACGGGUGGGUAACACGUAUCCAACCUGCCGAUUAUUCCGGGAUAGCCUUUCGAAAGAAAGAUUAAUACUGGAUAGCAUAACGAGAAGGCAUCUUCUUGUUAUUAAAGAAUUUCGAUAAUCGAUGGGGAUGCGUUCCAUUAGUUUGUUGGCGGGGUAACGGCCCACCAAGACAUCGAUGGAUAGGGGUUCUGAGAGGAAGGUCCCCCACAUUGGAACUGAGACACGGUCCAAACUCCUACGGGAGGCAGCAGUGAGGAAUAUUGGUCAAUGGACGAGAGUCUGAACCAGCCAAGUAGCGUGAAGGAUGACUGCCCUAUGGGUUGUAAACUUCUUUUAUAUGGGAAUAAAGUGGGCCACGUGUGGCUUUUUGUAUGUACCAUACGAAUAAGGAUCGGCUAACUCCGUG